UGGGGAAUAUUGCACAAUGGGGGAAACCCUGAUGCAGCGACGCCGCGUGAACGAAGAAGGUAUUCGCAUCGUAAAGUUCUGUCCUAUGGGAAGAUAAUGACAGUACCAUAGAAGAAAGCUCCGGCUAAAUACGUGCCAGCAGCCGCGGUAAUACGUAUGGAGCGAGCGUUGUCCGGAAUUAUUGGGCGUAAAGGGUACGCAGGCGGUUUAAUAAGUCGAAUGUUAAAGAUCGGGGCUCAACCCCGCAAAGCAUUGGAAACUGAUAAACUUGAGUAGUGGAGAGGAGAGUGGAGUUCCUAGUGUAGUGGUGAAAUACGUAGAUAUUAGGAGGAAUACCAGUAGCGAAGGCGACGUUCUGGACACAAACUGACGCUGAGGUGCGAAGGCGUGGGGAGCAAACAGG
rnacentral:rRNA from 1 species